UAGUCCACGCCGUAAACGAUGAGAACUAGAUGUUGGAAGGAUUUGCCUUUCAGUGUCGCAGCUAACGCGUUAAGUUCUCCGCCUGGGGAGUACGCCGGCAACGGUAAAACUCAAAGGAAUUGACGGGACCCGCACAAGCGGUGGAGCAUGUGGUUUAAUUCGAUGCAACGCGAAGAACCUUACCUGCCCUUGACAUACUUGGAACUUUCCAGAGAUGGAUUGGUGCCUUCGGGAACCGAGAUACAGGUGCUGCAUGGCUGUCGUCAGCUCGUGUCGUGAGAUGUUGGGUUAAGUCCCGCAACGAGCGCAACCCUUGUCCCUAGUUGCCAUCAUUUAGUUGGGCACUCUAGGGAGACCGCCGGUGACAAACCGGGAGGAAGGUGGGGACACGGUCAAGUCAUCAUGGGCCCUUAUGGGGCAGGGGCUACACACGUGCUACAAUGGGCCAGUACAGAGGGUUGCCAAGCCGCAAGGGUGGAGCCAAUCCCAGAAAGCUAGGGUCGUAGUCCGGGAUUGGGAGUCU
rnacentral:rRNA from 1 species